UCACCAUGCCUUAUCCUACAUAUCAGGACAUCUCUAGACAGGGUAUCUAUAGAGUUAAUUCUGAGGAUUAAAGACACUGAGGCUCUCAAAAUCUCAGUGGCUACCAUUUGUCCUUAUACAUUUCCCUUUGAGCUCAUAGGUGGUUGCAAUAUCUUCAAGCAUCUAGGCAACCGCAUCGUCAAGUCAUUGACUUUAUAAGAGCAAGAACUGCAUUUCCUUGAGCCCCCGCAGACUUCCCAUUGGUCAGAAUUGUGUCACAUGUCCAUGCUUCAGCCAAUCACUGACAAGGGCUGUGGAAUUACUAUGAUUGGUUUUUACCAGUCAAGACUCACCCUCGUCUUGGGUUUAAGAGGAGUAUUACCCCAGUGCAAGUACUUGGCUAUUAUGAAAGUAAAGAAAAUUGGAGUUCUGUUAGGAAAGGGGAGGGAGUGAAUUGUUGUUGGCUAAGCAGUCAAAAGGGCUGCCAGUCACACACUCUGACCAGAUCUCUGAUCUAGGAUUAGGUGAGAGACUGAGCAGGAAGGCAGACAUAGAUAACUAAUGGAAUGCAUAACUCAUUGGCAAAUAAGCAAGGCCCAACAGUAUCUGUGCACAUAAUGAUUUAAUGCUACAAAGAACCCUCUAUCCUUUAUUUUUCUAGACCCCACAACAACCCUGUGAGAUUUGGCGAUGCAGGUGUUGGGGUCCCCAUUUCUCCGUAGCAUCCAGUGUCCAGAGGCUGAGAAGACAAUAGCUGUAUCCAGUGUGGAGGAAAACUAGGGCUCAAAGUGGCUAGAAGUGAUUUGCUAUUAAUCUCAAAGCCACUAAAUGUCCACAAAAGGGUUAGAACUCAGUUUUAUCUGAAUUUAUUGUCCUUUAUCCUGUUAUGCCAUGCUAAUCCCAAAAGUCAAAACUUUUUUCUUUGGUGGGGAAUGAAAGGUAUAGGAAGUAAAAGACAAACAUUGUUUGUAAUUGGGUUGGGAAGAUGAGAUUGGUUGGAGUUAUGAUCUGUAUGUGCAACUUUGUCUUUUUUUCUCUCCCAUAUAAGAUAGGAUUUUAGAAUAGAAGUGUCAUAAAAUGAUACUGUUAGAGAGACAACUUGAAUCUGUUUUAAUUAAUUUUUAAGGAUUAGAAAAAUAAAUAGAAGGAAGGGAGAAAAUCUUUUGAAAACUGUUGUUAGUGAAUUUUUUUUUUUUUUCUUUUUAGGGCCACACCUGCAGCAUAUGGAAAUUCCCAGGCUAGGGAUUGAAUCAGAGCUGCAGCUGCCAGUCUACACCACAGCCACAGCAAUGCGGGAUCCGAGCUGCAUCUGCAACCUACAUCACAGCUCAUGGCAAUGCCAGAUCCUUAACCCACUGAGCAAGGCCAGGGAUCAAACCCACAUCCUCAUGGAUACUAGUAGGAUUCAUUUCCACUGCACCACAACGGGAACUCCCUGUUGUUAGUGAUUUUUAAACCACAAUAGGGUUACUUUGACCACAUUUCAUCGUCAAUUUCCAUGUGUUAGAGUGUACCAACCUCCUACCUUGUUGAAAUUGGUGCUCUCUAAGUUACCAGUGGGUGGAAUAACAGCAAAGGAGUGAGAAGAAGUGGAGAAAACCUCAGUUCCUUCAAAAAAUACCCUGUUUUGGAUGUCGUGUGGGGGACUCACGUCAGCUGUCACCCACCAUCUCUCAUUUUACAUGCCCCCACCCCCAUCCCUCUUCUUCCAAUUAAACCUGCUUAGGACCCAUUUCUAACAAGGGGCUGUAUGUGAGUGCUUGUUGAUGAUUUCAUUUUCAACAUGUCAUGAGUCAGGAGGCAGCUGGGAGCAGAGUGGCUCAGAUAUGAGCAGUCCUAGCUAAUUAGGUUCCCGGCUGCCUUCUUCCUCUUCCCAACACCCUACCAGUCUGUCGCCCUGUCAUGCCCUCUGUUGGAUUUCAUUCUGCUGGUUGUCUUGGUUAAUUCACAGAAAUCAUGCAGAACGACAUCAUCUUCUACAUUUAUUAUAGGUUUCUCUGCUGAGGCUGAUAAUGUAAGAAAUCAGUAGCAAAUUCUUCAUCCUCUGGGGUAUCUUCUCUAUGGGUGACCUUGUAGUGGUCAGGGAGGGUGGACACUGCCAAAUGACAUUUGCCAACAGGUAGAGGCAUUUUUGGCUGUCUGGAGGAGGGGCAUGAGCAUCUACCUGUAGUGGUCAAAAUGCAGCAUUUCUUGUAAAGUCAGUCCUACACCAUAAAGUAUUCUCCCCAAUAUGCCAAUAGAAGCCCAUUGAAAAACCCUGCAAAAUGCAUAGAGCCAGAGGAAUCCUUAGCUUCAAUUGCUCCUCUUAAGAGGCUUCUGAUCUAGGUAUAGAGUUGGGAGAAAGAGGGUUUGACUCUCUUUCUAAAGGUGUUUUGGGCACUCCUGGCUCAUUCUGUUUCUGUUUCAUCUCUGGACAUCCAGGACCUCACAAAAUGCCAUACACAUAGUAGAUGCUCAAUCCUGCAAGUUUGAUUUGAGUUGUCCAUGCUGUUUUCUAACCAUAGAAUGGUGCCUGGGGUCAAUUUUAAUUGAGUAUCUACUGUAGCAUCAGGGUCCAAUGAGGAAGAUAGAAACCAUAUUAGAUGUUUUAACAGAGAGAGUUUAAUCUAGGGAAUUGGAUGGGCAGGGUGUGGAGCAUGGAAAAGCAAAUGUAGAACAAAGAUGGCCCAGAUGUAAUAGCUGAGGAAAUCAGCUACUGCCCUUAUAGCUGGGGGAACAAAGGGAAAGGACAUGUAGUUAACAAAGCCAGUCUCUCCACCAUUGAGCUAGAUGGAAAAACCCAUCAAAACCAAGUUUUCACUGCCAGGAGAGAGAUUAGUGAUCCUGCAGAAACUCAGACAGACUUGAGUCCUAAUUCUCAUUCUCCAACUUGUGAGUUUCACUUCUCUGGAGAAGCCAAUCAGUUUUCUGGAAGCUUUAUCCCCUUGCACCAAGGGGAGGACUGUGUAUUCCCAAGGAACUUCUGUGAGGUUGAAUGCGAUAAUGUGAAUGUGGAUGAGGUAUGAAUCUUCCACCUUUGUGGGUUUUUGUUCCCUGAAAUAUUUAAGUUCACCUGUCAUACUAGAUUCAAUUCAGAUCAGACCAUAACCCCUACUGCCUUAAGAGAAAAAAAGGAUUACAGUGACACCUGUAGUUUUGGAAAUCCAAAGGCUGAGGAAUUGAAAGGAACAAGAGUUUAGGGAUAUUUCCUUGGAAACUGUUUAUCCCCCAGACUGGAGGAAAGAAGGGGAGUCAAACACUUGGAUACACAUGAGACUCUGAGAAGUACCUCUUCGGGGCAAAGUUCUGGGGAGGGGUUAGGGAGCAAGACCCCACUUUUAGUUUUGGAUUCUGUGGGUAUCUCAUUACCCUGUGAAGUCCAGCUGUCUGGGUUCAAAUACAGAUCACCCAGUUAGUGGCCACAUGAUCCAACACAGGAAACUUUUGGACAUCAAUUUCUACAUCUUUGAUGGGGGUGGGUAAUAAUGGCUGUUACCUCGUAGAGGUGAUGAUGGGAGUCAAUGAAGCACGCCUUGCAAAUCUGAGAACUGAGAAAAGGUGAUAUAUGUUGUUUGAAAAAAAAAUCGAGCAAGCUGAGGGCAAUGGCAGGCUUUGUGGAGAUGUCCCCAGUGCCACCAUGGCAUUGUUGUGUACUAGCUGGAAAGAGCACAGACAUGGGGGUGGAGUGGUUGGGCAUGUGAAGGACAUUGUCUUUCCAGUGUUUCUGGAGUGUCACAGUCCCUGCCCCCCACUUGGAGUUUAGGAGGAGGGGAGGGAGAGAGUGAGACAGCAGUUCUGCAAAGCUGUGUCUGGUUGGGGUGCAGGUACCACAGGGUAGGAUGUGAGGACUAGAUGAGGUAUGUCCCAUCCCUGGAGUCAACCAGUGUGGAGGCUGACGCUGUAGCAGGGGUUCCAUCUCAGUGGGUGCCAGUUAAGGACGUGGACAAAUGUCUGCCCUUCACUGAUGGCAUGGGAAAAUUUGCACACACACCCCUUCCCCCACUGGGAGCUUGGCAUCUUUACCACCAAGAGGAAGGGAGGGAGAAAAUCCAAAAUCUGACUUGGUUUAAGCUGAAAUCAAUGAGAAAAAUAAAAAAUCACUAAAAUGAUAGAAUUUAACUGGAAGUGACAAGAUUAAAUGUUCUGCUUCAGAGAGUUUGAGGGACUCAAGAUAGAAAUUAAGUUCAGUGGGAAAAACACAUGCUUUCAUUCCUGAGACGGUGCCGGGAUAUUCACAGUCACUAAAUUUUCGAAGGGCUUGGCACAUGGUAAGUGCUCCAUAAAUGGGAAGUACAUACAUAAGUAAUAAUUGAAAAGAUUACAUCUGCCCAUGGCAGUGGCCACUCUUUCCAACUGAUGGGAGGGAUGGAAGCUGAGAAUCAGUCCAGGUUUGCUUUUCUCUCUCCCUCCUCCUAACUAGUCUUCUCACUGAGCAACACAUCCUCCUGACAAGCCUUGAAAGCAGAGCACAGAAAAGGUAGUGGAUUCUGAGUGCAUGCCACCCCAUAAAUACUUCCAGAGUGAGGCAAGAUUUAUGGUGUUAUAAAUGCCAGUGGCAGGCACCGUUUGUGUUAAUAGCCUUAUUAGUUACAUUGCUGUAAAAUCCAGAUCUCCACACUGUUUAACAGCUACAGUUCUGCUCAGCAGCAUUAAUUCAAUAAAUCGAGGCCUCUUGACAUAAAUCUUAAAGCCCCUAGAACAUGGUUAGGAAAUCCCUCCUGAUGGGUUAGAGAUGGACCAAUGGAGUGAGGCCAACGAGCUUCCAGCGGGGCCGCUGAAUCUCAUGACACAGCUAUCUCCAGAAGCUGCCACUGUGGGUCAUUUCCUAUCUAUAAUCCCAAUGGGCUAGAUCUUGACCUUGAAUGUGGAGGGUCUGACAGGGUUUGCAGGUGAUUCGGGGGGGGGGGGUGAACCCAGAGCCCCAUUACCCCUUUUUCCAUACCUUUUUGCAAAUUAUUUAUUUAUUUAUUUUAGUUCUUUAAAAAUUUUUUAACUUCAUUUUUUUAAAUUACUCAAAUGAAUUUGUCACAUCUGUAAUUGUAUAAUGAUCAUCACAAUCUGAUUUCUCAGGAUUUCCAUCCCACAGCCCAAGCACAUCCCCCCACCCCCCAAACUGUCUCCUCCGGAGACCAUAAGUUUUUCAAUGUCUGUUUGUCAGCAUCUGUUCUGCAAAGAAGUUCAGUCUGUCCUUUUUUCAGAUUCCACAUGUCAGUGAAAGCAUUUGAUGUUGGUGUCUCAUCGUAUGGCUGACUUCACUUAGCGUGAUAGUUUCUAGGUCCAUCCAUGUUGCAAAAAAUGCUGGUAUUUCGUUCUUUUUAAUGGCUGAGUAAUAUUCCAUUGAGUAUAUGUACCACAUCUUCUUGAUCCACUCCUCUGUCAAUGGACAUUUAGGUUGUUUCCAUGUUUUGGCUAUUGUGAAUUGUGUUGCAAGGAACAUCGGAGUACAUGUGUCUUUGCGAGUCGUGGUUUUCUCUGGGUAGAUGCCCAGGAGUGGGAUUGGUGGAUCAAAUGGUAGUUCUAUGUUUAGUUUUCUGAGGCAUCUCCAUACUGUUUUCCACAGUGGUUGCACCAAUUUACGAUCCCACCAACAGUGUACUAGUGUUCCUUUUUCUCCACACCUUCUCCAGCACUUAUUGUUUGUAGACUUUUGGAUGAUGGCCAUUCUGGCUGGUGUACGGUGUCUUUUUGCAAAUUAGAGAAAGUCUCCCCUCUCCCCCCGGCCUGGGGCCGGGGGUGGCAGCGGCGGUGGGGGUGCUGCCUCAUAGUACAUGGCGUGGUGGGAGAAUACAUCUUUGUGCUGAUUAGACAAAGGCCAGCAGAGCUGAAGCGUGGGUUUCAGCCCCCACCUGCACCUCAGCUGGGAACCCUUUUGCAGCAAAGAGUCCACACAACCAAACAUGGCAGCCUGAAUGAAAUUGUAAAAUUCACUGAUGAGAAGUAAGAGCCUAUAAUUGAAAGACCUAGAAAUUACAAAGUUAAAGACAAGCAGAGUGAAAAAAUUUAUUGUUAGGCAUAUUUAUGUGAAAAUACAAAGGGAAAAAAAUCAAUGGGAGUUCCCAUUGUGGCUCAGCAGGUUAAGGACCUGCAUUGUCUCUAUGAGGAUGUGGGUUCAAUCCCUGGCCUUGUUCAGUGGGCUAAGGACCCAGUGUUGCUGUAAGCUACAGCAUAGGUUGCAGAUGUGGCUUGGAUCCAGUGUUGUCAUGGUUGUGGUGCACCUCCAGUUUGACCCCUGGCUUGGGAACUUUUAUAUGUUGCAGGGGCUGCUGUAAAAAGAAAAAAAAGGAAAAAACCCCCAAUGGAUGGAGUUCCUGUCGUGGCUCAGUGGUUAACGAAUCUGACUAAGAACCAUGAGGUGGCAGGUUCAAUCCCUUGCCUCGAUCAGUGGGUUAAGAAUCUGGCAUUGCCGUGAGCCAUGGUGUAGAUCUCAGACGCAGCUCAGAUCCCUUGUUGCUGUGGCUCUGGCGUAGGCCGGAGCUACAGCUCAAAUUGGACCCUAGCCUGGGAACCUCUAUAUGCCGUGGGUGUGGGCCUAG
rnacentral:lncRNA from 1 species